AGGAUAGGUGGGAGACUGUGAAGCUGCCGCGCCAGCGGUGGUGGAGUCGUCGUUGAAAUACCAUUCUGGUUCAAGCGGUCACCUUAACCUUGGCCCGUGAUCCGGGUUGGGGACAGUGCCUGAUGGGUAGUUUAACUGGGGCGGUUGCCUCCUAAAGUGUAACGGAGGCGCCCAAAGGUUCCCUCAGCCUGGUUGGCAAUCAGGUGUUGAGUGUAAGUGCACAAGGGAGCUUGACUGUGAGACUGGCAGGUCGAGCAGGGACGAAAGUCGGGACUAGUGAUCCGGCCAUGGCACGUGGGUGCGUGGUCGCUCAACGGAUAAAAGGUACCUCGGGGAUAACAGGCUGAUCUUGCCCAAGAGUCCAUAUCGACGGCAUGGUUUGGCACCUCGAUGUCGGCUCGUCGCAUCCUGGGGCUGGAGUUGGUCCCAAGGGUUGGGCUGUUCGCCCAUUAAAGCGGUACGCGAGCUGGGUUCAGAACGUCGUGAGACAGUUCGGUCCCUAUCCGCUGCGCGCGUUGGAAACUUGAAAAAGGCUGUCCUUAGUACGAGAGGACCGGGACGGACGAACCUCUGGUAUGUCAGUUGUACCGCCAGGUGCAUGGCUGAUUGGCUACGUUCGGGAGGGAUAACCGCUGAAAGCAUCUAAGCGGGAAACUUGCUUUGAGAUGAGGUUUCCACACCCCCUAGGGUGGAAGGCCCCCGGCAGACUACCGGGUUGAUAGGCCAGAGGUGGAAGCACCGCGAGGUGCUCGUGAGCCGACUGGUACUAAUGGGCCAACACUAACAAACAC
rnacentral:rRNA from 1 species